GGCUAACGCUGGCGGCGUGUCUUAGCCAUGCAAGUCGAGCGGACUUAUGGGGUAACUUAUAAGUCAGCGGCGGACGGCGGAGUAACACGUAGCUAACCUACCCUCUGGACGGGGAUAACCUACCGAAAGGUGGGCUAAUACCCGAUGUAGUCAUCCUGUAUAGGGGUGAUGAAAGGUGGGCUUCUGUUUACAAGCUCAUGCUGGAGGAGGGGGCUGCGGCCUAUCAGGUAGUUGGUAGGGUAAUAGCCUACCAAGCCGAUGACGGGUAGCCGGCCUGAGAGGGUGACCGGCCCGAGGGGCACUGAGAUACGGGUCCCACUCCUACGGGAGGCAGCAGGCUAGAAAUUUGGGCAAUGGGGGAAACCCUGACCCAGUGACGCCGCGUGCAGGAAGGAGCCCUUCGGGGUGUAAACUGCUGUCGUGUAGGGAGAAGGGUACUAAGGUGAACAAUCUUAGUACUUGACGGUACUACAGGAGGAAGCCCAGGCUAACCUCGUGCCAGCAGCCGCGGUAAAAAGCGUACU
rnacentral:rRNA from 1 species